rnacentral:sRNA from 3 species
AUAUCUCUCUGUACGGGAAGGAUGAGAAGCUUCGACUAAGGUUCGAUUCGAGCGCAGCGAGAAAGCGUUGCCGCAGGCAACGACCCGAAGGGCGAAGCGCGCAGCGCUGAGUCAUCCUUCCC